UACGGAGGAUCCAAGCGUUAUCCGGAUUUAUUGGGUUUAAAGGGUGUGUAGGCGGCUUAUUAAGUCAGUGGUGAAAUCCUCCCGCUUAACGGGAGAACUGCCAUUGAUACUGAUGAGCUUGAAUGUGCUUGAGGUGGGCGGAAUGUGUCAUGUAGCGGUGAAAUGCUUAGAUAUGACACAGAACACCGAUUCCGAAGGGAGCUCACUAAGGCAUAAUUGACGCUGAGGCACUAAAGCGUGGGGAGCAAACAGG
rnacentral:rRNA from 1 species